rfam:Cicer arietinum chromosome Ca7, whole genome shotgun sequence.
AAAGUGGAAUGCAGCCAAGGGUGAUUUGCCGGCACUUAUACAGUAAUUAAUUGACCGUAUACAUAUAUGUACAUUGAUGCAUAGUGUCGACAAGUUUCUCUUGGCUAUAUUUCGCUUUCU